rnacentral:rRNA from 1 species
UACAUGGGGUGCAAACGUUGCUCGGAAUUAUUGGGCGUAAAGGGCUCGUAGGCGGUUUGUCGCGUCGGGAGUGAAAACACCGGGCUUAACUCGGUGCUUGCUUUCGAUACGGGCAGACUAGAGGCAUGCAGGGGAGAACGGAAUUCCUGGUGUAGCGGUGAAGUGCGCAGAUAUCAGGAGGAACACCGGUGGCGAAGGCGGUUCUCUGGGCAUGUCCUGACGCUGAGGAGCGAAAGUGUGGGGAGCGAACAGG